rnacentral:lncRNA from 1 species
GUUUUAUAUUACUGCAUUUCAGUUGCCCUUUUUCGUUUUAUUUGCUAAACAUUUUACCAUUUUUCAAGUUUUUAACUACAAUUUGGUUUUACUUUUACAUAUGCUGUGUCUGGGUGUGUAUUUCAGAGUUAAGAGAACGAAAAAGUCAACGCAAAAAGUGGAAUAUUCGUUUAGGAAUUGAGAGUGGAGAAUUGAGAUUCUGUAUUAUAUAUGCGUGUGUACGUGUGUGUGUGUGUGUACUUUAGUUCGGUUGAAUUUCUAUAACUAGGCAUAUUCCAUAUAUGUAUAAACUUUACAGAUAUAUUUAUGUGACGGCCACGCCUUGCAGGCGCUCGACUCGCUCGAUCUAUGAACUAACAACUGUCCGCAUCAGAAUCCAGUGAUCCAAUGCGAUAUUUUAGCUUAAGUUAUUUGCUAGAAAACUAUAUAAUGACCGUACAAAUGAG